rnacentral:rRNA from 1 species
GAUGAACGCUAGCGGCAGGCUUAACACAUGCAAGUCGAGGGGUAGAAGUUGCUUGCAACUUUGAGACCGGCGCACGGGUGCGUAACGCGUAUGCAAUCUACCUUAUACAGAGGGAUAACCCAGAGAAAUUUGGAUUAAUACCUCAUAGUAUAAUUGAAUGGCAUCAUUUAAUUAUUAAAGUUCCAACGGUAUAAGAUGAGCAUGCGUCGUAUUAGCUAGAUGGUAAGGUAACGGCUUACCAUGGCAACGAUAGGUAGGGGUCCUGAGAGGGAGAUCCCCCACACUGGUACUGAGACACGGACCAGACUCCUACGGGAGGCAGCAGUGAGGAAUAUUGGACAAUGGGCGCAAGCCUGAUCCAGCCAUGCCGCGUGCAGGAAGAAGCAUCUAUGGUGUGUAAACUGCUUUUGUACGGGAAGAAACACUCCUUCGUGAAGGAGCUUGACGGUACCGUAAGAAUAAGGAUCGGCUAACUCCGUGCCAGCCGCCGCCGUAACAC